rnacentral:rRNA from 1 species
AGAGUUUGAUCAUGGCUCAGAUUGAACGCUGGCGGCAUGCCUUACACAUGCAAGUCGAACGGCAGCAUGAUCUAGCUUGCUAGAUUGAUGGCGAGUGGCGAACGGGUGAGUAAUACAUCGGAACGUGCCCUGUAGUGGGGGAUAACUAGUCGAAAGAUUAGCUAAUACCGCAUACGACCUGAGGGUGAAAGUGGGGGACCGCAAGGCCUCAUGCUAUAGGAGCGGCCGAUGUCUGAUUAGCUAGUUGGUGAGGUAAAGGCUCACCAAGGCGACGAUCCAGUAGCUGGUCUGAGAGGACGAUCAGCCACACUGGGACUGAGACACGGCCCAGACUCCUACGGGAGGCAGCAGUGGGGAAUUUUGGACAAUGGGCGAAAGCCUGAUCCAGCAAUGCCGCGUGUGUGAAGAAGGCCUUCGGGUUGUAAAGCACUUUUGUCCGGAAAGAAAUGGCUCUGGUUAAUACCUGGGGUCGAUGACGGUACCGGAAGAAUAAGGACCGGCUAACUACGUGCCAGCAGCCGCGGUAAUACGUAGGGUCCAAGCGUUAAUCGGAAUUACUGGGCGUAAAGCGUGCGCAGGCGGUUGUGCAAGACCGAUGUGAAAUCCCCGAGCUUAACUUGGGAAUUGCAUUGGUGACUGCACGGCUAGAGUGUGUCAGAGGGGGGUAGAAUUCCACGUGUAGCAGUGAAAUGCGUAGAGAUGUGGAGGAAUACCGAUGGCGAAGGCAGCCCCCUGGGAUAACACUGACGCUCAUGCCACGAAAGCGUGGGGAGCAAACAGGAUUAGAUACCCUGGUAGUCCACGCCCUAAACGAUGUCAACUAGUUGUUGGGGAUUCAUUUCCUUAGUAACGUAGCUAACGCGUGAAGUUGACCGCCUGGGGAGUACGGUCGCAAGAUUAAAACUCAAAGGAAUUGACGG